rnacentral:rRNA from 1 species
GAUGAACGCUGGCGGCGUGCCUAAUACAUGCAAGUCGAGCGAACAGAUAAGGAGCUUGCUCCUUUGACGUUAGCGGCGGACGGGUGAGUAACACGUGGGUAACCUACCUAUAAGACUGGAAUAACUCCGGGAAACCGGGGCUAAUGCCGGAUAACAUUUAGAACCGCAUGGUUCUAAAGUGAAAGAUGGUUUUGCUAUCACUUAUAGAUGGACCCGCGCCGUAUUAGCUAGUUGGUAAGGUAACGGCUUACCAAGGCAACGAUACGUAGCCGACCUGAGAGGGUGAUCGGCCACACUGGAACUGAGACACGGUCCAGACUCCUACGGGAGGCAGCAGUAGGGAAUGUUCCGCAAUGGGCGAAAGCCUGACGGAGCAACGCCGCGUGAGUGAGGAAGGUCUUCGGAUCGUAAAACUCUGUUAUUAGGGAAGAACAAAUGUGUAAGUAACGGUGAACGUCUUGACGGUACCUAAUCAGAAAGCCACGGCUAACUACGU